AUACGGAGGAUCCGAGCGUUAUCCGGAUUUAUUGGGUUUAAAGGGUGCGCAGGCGGCCAUUUAAGUCAGCGGUUAAACCGUGGGGCUCAACCCCAUUCUGCCGUUGAUACUGGGUGGCUUGAUUGCGGUCGAGGUUGGCGGAAUUCGUUGUGUAGCGGGGAAAUGCAUAGAUAUGACGAAGAACACCGAUUGCGUAGGCAGCUGACCAGACCGCAAAUGACGCUCAUGCACGAAAGUGCGGGGAACGAACAGGAUUAGAUACCCUGGUAGUCCGCACAGUAAACGAUGAAUACUUGUUUUCGGCGAUAUAAUGUCGGAGGCAAAGCGAAAGCGAUAAGUAUUCCACCUGGGGAGUACGCCGGCAACGGUGAAACUCAAAUGAAUUGACGGGG
rnacentral:rRNA from 1 species